rnacentral:rRNA from 1 species
UACGUAGGGGGCAAGCGUUUGUCCGGAUUUAUUGGGCGUAAAGAGCGUGUAGGCGGCCAUACAGGUCAGCUGUGAAAACUCGAGGCUCAACCUCGAGACGUCGGUUGAAACCGUAUGGCUAGAGUCCGGAAGAGGAGAGUGGAAUUCCCGGUGUAGCGGUGAAAUGCGCAGAUAUCGGGAAGAACACCCGUGGCGAAGGCGGCUCUCUGGGACGGUACUGACGCUGAGACGCGAAAAGCGUGGGGGAGCGAACAGG